rnacentral:rRNA from 1 species
UACGGAGGGUGCGAGCGUUGUCCGGAAUCAUUGGGCGUAAAGGGCGCGUAGGUGGCCCGGUCAGCGUGCGGUGAAAGCUCGGGGCUCAACCCCGAGUCGGCCGUGCGAACUGCUGGGCUUGAGCACUGUAGAGGCAGGUGGAAUUCCGGGUGUAGCGGUGGAAUGCGUAGAGAUCCGGAAGAACACCGGUGGCGAAGGCGGCCUGCUGGGCAGUGGCUGACACUGAGGCGCGACAGCGUGGGGAGCAAACAGG